rnacentral:rRNA from 1 species
AGAGUUUGAUCCUGGCUCAGGAUGAACGCCGGCGGUGUGCCUAAUACAUGCAAGUCGUACGCACUGGCCCAACUGAUUGAUGGUGCUUGCACCUGAUUGACGUUGGAUCACCAGUGAGUGGCGGACGGGUGAGUAACACGUAGGUAACCUGCCCCGGAGCGGGGGAUAACAUUUGGAAACAGAUGCUAAUACCGCAUAACAACAAAAGCCACAUGGCUUUUGCUUGAAAGAUGGCUUUGGCUAUCACUCUGGGAUGGACCUGCGGUGCAUUAGCUAGUUGGUAAGGUAACGGCUUACCAAGGCGAUGAUGCAUAGCCGAGUUGAGAGACUGAUCGGCCACAAUGGAACUGAGACACGGUCCAUACUCCUACGGGAGGCAGCAGUAGGGAAUCUUCCACAAUGGGCGCAAGCCUGAUGGAGCAACACCGCGUGAGUGAAGAAGGGUUUCGGCUCGUAAAGCUCUGUUGUUGGAGAAGAACGUGCGUGAGAGUAACUGUUCACGCAGUGACGGUAUCCAACCAGAAAGUCACGGCUAACUACGUGCCAGCAGCCGCGGUAAUACGUAGGUGGCAAGCGUUAUCCGGAUUUAUUGGGCGUAAAGCGAGCGCAGGCGGUUGCUUAGGUCUGAUGUGAAAGCCUUCGGCUUAACCGAAGAAGUGCAUCGGAAACCGGGCGACUUGAGUGCAGAAGAGGACAGUGGAACUCCAUGUGUAGCGGUGGAAUGCGUAGAUAUAUGGAAGAACACCAGUGGCGAAGGCGGCUGUCUGGUCUGCAACUGACGCUGAGGCUCGAAAGCAUGGGUAGCGAACAGGAUUAGAUACCCUGGUAGUCCAUGCCGUAAACGAUGAGUGCUAGGUGUUGGAGGGUUUCCGCCCUUCAGUGCCGGAGCUAACGCAUUAAGCACUCCGCCUGGGGAGUACGACCGCAAGGUUGAAACUCAAAGGAAUUGACGGGGGCCCGCACAAGCGGUGGAGCAUGUGGUUUAAUUCGAAGCUACGCGAAGAACCUUACCAGGUCUUGACAUCUUGCGCUAACCUUAGAGAUAAGGCGUUCCCUUCGGGGACGCAAUGACAGGUGGUGCAUGGUCGUCGUCAGCUCGUGUCGUGAGAUGUUGGGUUAAGUCCCGCAACGAGCGCAACCCUUGUUACUAGUUGCCAGCAUUAAGUUGGGCACUCUAGUGAGACUGCCGGUGACAAACCGGAGGAAGGUGGGGACGACGUCAGAUCAUCAUGCCCCUUAUGACCUGGGCUACACACGUGCUACAAUGGACGGUACAACGAGUCGCAAGCUCGCGAGAGUAAGCUAAUCUCUUAAAGCCGUUCUCAGUUCGGACUGUAGGCUGCAACUCGCCUACACGAAGUCGGAAUCGCUAGUAAUCGCGGAUCAGCAUGCCGCGGUGAAUACGUUCCCGGGCCUUGUACUCACCGCCCGUCA